CCUGAAUGCCCCUCAACUGAAGAAUGCAUAAAGAAAAUGUGGUGCAUUUACACAAUGGAGUACUACACAGCGGAAAAAAAUGAAAUCUUGAAAUUUGCAGGCAAAUGGAUGGAUCUAGAAAACAUCAUAUUGAGUGAGAAUUGCAUUCAUAAUUCUGUUUCAAUUAUGAAAGGACUAGAUUUCAGUUUCACCUCUGCUGUGAUUUGCAGCUGGAAGUCUUCAUGAAGCCGAGACUGGACUUGGGCCUGGGCUAUUUUCUCAUCUCGUGUUCUACAGAGCUACUAAGUGUGAUCCACCAUGCUCACAGACUACAAGAGCAUUAGAGCCAUCCUGGCAUUUGCAGUCUUUGCGGGUUUCAUGAAAACCUUACCGUGUUCGUCUGAGUGACGGACAGUUUCGUGUCCGGCGGAGUGCAGCAAAAGUUGCCUCAGAAGACGGCAGAAGAGGGUUUGAGCCUGGAGGGGUUUGCGUCGGCCUCCCCUGCCUUCAGGAUGACAGCAGUUUACCAGCAACUCGAGCUGAAUGCCUUCAUACUUUCUUCCACCUGCGCUCUCGUGAGAUAGUCUAAGGAGAGACACAGGUGCCCUUCCAGUUGGCUCUCACUAUUGAGACAAUAAUCUCCAAGGAAUUUCCCCAGAAGUCUCCUGCUGGGAGAAGAAAAGGCCUGAAGCUUGGAGUCAGCCAGAGGAGAAAUUCGCCUUCAGCAGGGAUUUCAUCUGGUCCAACUAGCUUGCAGGAGAGACAGGAGCCAAGACAAUGAAGGGCCAGGGAUGCCGGGCCACUCUUUGAGGGAAGCCAAUGGAUUAGAGGGUCUACGAUGGCAGAACAUGCUCAGGCUGGUAGCAGAGCUGGCAUCUCACCCUCUGGCCCCACCCCUGCCAGCCAAGCCCUUCCCAGAGGUUCCAAAACCACCACCAUCAGGGGAUCAAGGGGACAUCAGUCUCACAGAAGACAUUUCACACUCAAACAACAAAGGAAGAAGUAAAUUUUCAAACAAGGACCUACCAUGGCUCAGGACAGACACCGAGCCUUUGGCUCUGAGUGAGAACACAGACUCUUGGAAUCUGUCAUGGAGAUAGUAGUCUGGAAGAGAGGAGGAUGGCAGAGGCUGCAGACAGAAGCAGGGGUGGCAGUUCAGAUGCUGCCCUGUCAGACUUUACACUGUGUCCCUCAGGAGGUGCUGUUGCUCCAGGUGAAGUCGCUGUUGGACGUGUUAUGGCUGGGUUGUCACUCGCUGCAGAGCCCCAGGCGGGCCAGGCAUCGUUCGUCUUUCCAGCUUUCCUGGAGCUUUCUCAUGAAGCCAAGGUGCAGAGCCACGUGUCAUGGACCACAGCUCCAAAAGAGCACUGAAGGGGAGGAGAAGCGGUAAUAACUGCCUGACCCCAAAUCUCAUUACUGUCAACCCAGGGGAAUACUACAAAUUACAAAUGAAAUUCACAAAUGACAUUUCAAAGAUAUCUUCUUAACCCAAUUUAAGUGCAUGCCAUUGUGAUUAGCUACAUACGCCCAUGAAUAUUGAUCUAAUUAUUGUAGCUAGACAAAUUAAAAUGUUUCUGGAGGCAGCAAUCUUUUCUUCCUUCCUUCCUGGGACAGACAAGAAGGUUGGUCCUGUAGGAAGCAAGGGCUGACAUGAGCCAUUAAGCGGAAGGGCCUGACAAACCUUCCUGUUCUUGUCAUUUCUGACGAACUUUGUUUUGAUUCAUUGAAUGUUCAUCUCUGAAGCAGCAAUUCAAAAGUUGAGAUUCCCUUUCGGGAAGUGUUGUGACCACAUUGUCUUUCCUAUGCUCUAACUAAGAUGUUAUCCCAUGGCAAGAAAAGACUUAAGAGAUCUGAACGGUUCUGCCGAGGUUCUAGAAACCAUCAUACGUUUCCAAGACCUUUGGUGGGUAAAUUACAUGUUUAUUUAAAAAUUUAAACAGUCAGUGGGUCGUCUAUAUCUUUGAAGUAUCAGAACUCAAAUAGUAACCGGUUGCAAAGAUUCAAAUCUGCAGUUCUAGCCAUCAGGGGGCUGAGGCAGGAGGAUCGUGAGUGUGAGGCCAGUCUGAGUACCAUGGUGAAAUUCUCCCGCAGGAAAGCUUUUGAUCUUCAAGCUUUUUGUAAUGAGCAUGGAAGCAGAUUCCUCUGAAUGAAUAAAUAAAGGGGAAUCUGUAGUGUAGAUAGAGCAGGAAAUUUAUGGAAUAAGAAUGAAUGUAACUUGGUGUAAUGUAAAAGCAUUUCUUCUUGUGUGUGGUAUGGAAAAUUACUAAGGUAAAAUAUUAAGCGAACAUUUGCCCACAUGAAGGCUGCCACACCCAUCUGGCCCUGCCAGAUGUGGGGGCUGCACCCAGCAACCGUGGUAAUGAAAUAAUCUUGCCACACAAGAGGGACCCCCCACCCUUCUGUGGCCAGUCGAUACUGAUAACCUAGGGCAUCUGGUUAUCGGAAGGAUCAAACGAGGGGCAAUUUUGAACUGACUUAAAAGAGGUGGCUGAAGCAGGGCGGUUAUCUCACUUCUCACAAUGGCUCUGGCACCAGGCCUCUGUGGAAAGAGAGAUCCUCCUAGCUUGCCUCCCUAAAAGCAGCAAUAUUGAAUGCCUUGCCUAAACAUUUAAUACUCUGUCUCCCGAGUACAGAGCUUCAUCUCCCGAAAACAGACAUUUAACACCUUGCAUCCCGAAUGCAAAUCCUCAUUCCCUGAGAGUGGACAUUGAAGGUCUGUCUCCCGAGAACAGACUAGAUACUCUGCCUUUCAGAAUGCUUUGCCAUCCCGUAAGCAAAGCUUCGUCUUCUGAGCAGACAGAACGCUUUGCCAUCCCGAGAGCAAAGCCUCAUCUUCGAGAGUAGAGAACUAAAAGCCUUGUCUCCCGAGACUCAGUCACCCGAAAGCCGAGUCCAAGGCACUACCAGAUACCAGCCUGGAACAUCAGGACCUUAUCUCCCGAGUGCAGACUACGGGGUCAAGAGUCGAUCUUCGCUACCCAGCCCCCAGUGCGGACAAGAGCCCAGCCUGAAGAAAUUCAAAAAGCCCUUUUUAAGCCAGGGAAUAUCUGGUCGUAUGAUGCUAUUUCAUGUGUGUAUGAGAGGUUAAGAGAAAAGCAUAGACGUGUUAAUACAUAAGUUUAGUGUGUGAAAUGUUAAGAGAUAUUUUAUGGAUAAUUGAUAAAAUUAGGAAAUAUUAAUGGAUAAGCUAAGGUUAAGGAGUGUUUUAUAGAUAAGUAAUGGAUAAGUUGUAUUAGGGUUAAGAAGUGUUUUGUGAAUAAGUGAUAAGUUAGAUUAAGGUUAUGAAUUGGUUUUAUGUAUUAGGUUUAGUAGGAUUGAUAAUUGUGAUAUUGAAGUGUCUGUGUGUUGCCCAUUAUCAAUCCCCCAUGCCUAUUGAGAUUGUAACCCCCAUUGAUGUAUUGGAUAUUGAAGUUGCUGGUAAAGAAUCAUCAUAAAAACAA